UUCAAUACGAGGAAUUUGCUGACAUCAAAAUACUAUUGGCCAGGGAUGACAAGAGACAUUGCCAAUUGGGUUGCACGAUGUCUUACUUGCCAGAAACAGGGAAAGGAAUUAAAUAUGGAUACCACCUUGAAAAGCAUAAAGGUCACUCGGAUCUGGGAAUUGUUGGAAAUGGAUUUAAUAGGACCAUUACCAGUAACAAAGGAUGGAUACCAGUAUAUACUGACAGUCAUAGAUUAUCUGUCAAGAUGGCUGGAAGCCUUUCCACUUAGAAGUAAGUCAGCAUACGAGGUGGUAGAGAACAUGUACAAAUUGAUUGUUCGACGUGGAUGCCCAGAGCGGAUACUGACAGAUCAGGGUUCGGAAUUCAAUAAUAAGGUAAUGACUGUUUUUUUUCUGGUUAUUUGUACUAUGUAGUCAAACUCACUAUCAGGUCACUCA